rnacentral:tRNA from 1 species
GCAGUGGUGGUUCAGUGGUAGGACUCUCACCUACCAUGCAAGAGACCUGGGUUUGAUUCCCAGUGAAUGCA